rnacentral:rRNA from 1 species
UGGGGAAUAUUGCACAAUGGGCGCAAGCCUGAUGCAGCCAUGCCGCGUGUGUGAAGAAGGCCUUCGGGUUGUAAAGCACUUUCAGCGAGGAGGAAGGUGGUGAGCUUAAUACGCUCAUCAAUUGACGUUACUCGCAGAAGAAGCACCGGCUAACUCCGUGCCAGCAGCCGCGGUAAUACGGAGGGUGCAAGCGUUAAUCGGAAUUACUGGGCGUAAAGCGCACGCAGGCGGUUUGUUAAGUCAGAUGUGAAAUCCCCCGGGCUCAACCUGGGAACUGCAUUUGAAACUGGCAAGCUAGAGUCUCGUAGAGGGGGGUAGAAUUCCAGGUGUAGCGGUGAAAUGCGUAGAGAUCUGGAGGAAUACCGGUGGCGAAGGCGGCCCCCCUGGACGAAGACUGACGCUCAGGUGCGAAAGCGUGGGGCAGCAAACAGGAUUAGAUACCCUGGUAGUCCACGCUGUAAAACGAUGUCGAUUUGGAGGUUGUGCCCUUGAGGCGUGGCUUCCGGAGCUAACGCGUUAAAUCGACCGCCUGGGGAGUACGGCCGCAAGGUU